GAUGAACGCUGGCGGCGUGCUUAACACAUGCAAGUCGAACGGAAAGGCUCCUGCUUGCAGGGGUACUCGAGUGGCGAACGGGUGAGUAACACGUGGGUGAUCUGCCCUGCACUUCGGGAUAAGCCUGGGAAACUUGGUCUAAUACCGGAUAGGACGAUGGUUUGGAUGCCAUUGUGGAAAGUUUUUGCGGUGUGGGAUGGGCUCGCGGCCUAUCAGCUUGUUGGUGGGGUAACGGCCUACCAAGGCGUCGACGGGUAGCCGGCCUGGGAGGGUGUACGGCGCCCUUGGUACUGAGAGAGGGCCCAGAGUCCAACGGUAGGCAGUAGGGGGGAGUAUUGUCCAAUGGGCCCACGUGUGAUGCAGCGACCCCGCGGGUGGGAUGAGGGCUUUUGGGUUGUAAACUGCUUCCGCUAGGGAAGAAGAGGUAGUGACGGUACCUGAAGAAGAAGCACCGGCUAACUACGUG
rnacentral:rRNA from 1 species